rnacentral:lncRNA from 1 species
CGUAGAGUUUAGAGUAAUCAUUGCUGGCGUAAACGUGGUGUUUAGGCUGGGGUACUCAUAGAUAUUCCCUGACUAGCUGGACCGUGGUAGUAGCGAGGAACGUGACAAUUCCGAGUUACCUUUGCAGACCAUAUCUCGUUAGCAGGAAGGAUAUGGUUUAUAGGUGCGGGUUGAACAUCCUUUGUGGUGCCUAGAUUCCGUUAGCCUCCCCAAUAGAACAGUAGAUCAUCCUUACCAAGGUUAGAAGGAGACUACGGUUGCAGUCUUCUCUAUUUAUCACUCACAUCGAAAGACAUUCUUUGUUGCCUAAAGGUUAGUAGUAAUAGACCAGUUAGUCAGAUGCACUCUUUCUCCUAGUGGUAAAAAAAUAAAUACGAUACUCUGGAUAAUUUCACGGGUGAAGUGCUCACCGAUAUCCGUGCGCUUACGGAUCAAUUCCUUAUUGCGUUUCCAAAUAUCAACAAUGCGUUCAAGCAAGAUCUCAUCUCUGAGUUAAAGUAAACUGUUAAGACUUAAAAAUUACUCAUUUUACCUUUCACCAUGGGGCUUGCAACCGUCACUUGUGCCUCGAGCAGUUAAAAGAUAGAACAGUCAAGUCAAGCGCCAUGUCUCGUAUUCUUGACCAGCUAUAGCUCUAGAGUUUUUGCAGAUUUUCAAAUAAAACUUAGAGAUUCCUUGUAUGACUCUCUCAAAUCUCUAUUUUGUGGUAUUUCUGGAUCCUUUCCAAGGCAGUAAUGGUAUAUACCUUCUCUCAAAGUAUGUGGUAUUUUUGGUAUGAGGCAUAGUGAUAUUGCCUUCUCUCUCACCCUACUCUUGUAAGGUUUUGAUAUCUGGAGCUCAUAGGUGGGAGACAGAUAAUACAUACUUACAAGACAUUUAUUGGAUAGUCAAACCAUGGAUCCAGAGAAACAAGUCAAUAAGUCAAAUCAAGAUGUGCAUGUGUGGCGAAUGAAUGGUGUAGGGUGAUGAUGGUGAUAAUGGAGAAAACAAGGGUGAAAGUUUUUUGAGGAGAAUGAGAUGCUCUCUAUUUUCUUUUUAUUUUCUCUCAGGUGGGUAUCUUGUACCCCUAAUUCUACUGUCAGACACUUGUCCAUUUUUACCUCUCGUCUCACUUUUUAUUUUCUUCGAGGUUUCGGGCACUUGCCCCUUUUUAUUUCCUCGUAUUUUUUUCCUUUUCUUUUUUUCAGAGCACUCACCCUCCUGGAAUAAUGUAGCAAGUGGUAGUAACCAAAAUAUCUUGAGCAUUUAUUUCACGGGGAAUAACAGGGAUAGGAUAAUGUUUUUGGCUAUUCUCUUCCGGAUAGGAGUAGAAUCAUUUUAGGUGAAUCUGGGGAUGGAAAUGAGUGGAUGUAUGUGGAUGCGUACUUCCAGAGUAGAAGUAGCAUGUAUGAGUGAACGUGGAAGUGAAUCUUGAUUUUAACCGCAUGACAAGUUCCUAAGGGUCCACAUAACUUGACCACACUCAAUGCUUAUAAGUAGUAAAAAGUAAAUGUACGGUUCAUAGUCUAAUAAGCAUGUAUAUGUGGCUCUAGUAGGAUUUUAAACUCUCAUCAUACAGGAACUCAUCAUGCAACAUUUUAAAGAUUUUCAAAGAUAAAAUUCUCCAGAAUUCUAGCAUCUCUAGGAACAGAUAAACAGCAGCUCAACCUUCCCAUAUCAUAUCCGUUAACGAUUUAGACUUUAGAUCAAGUACUCUUCCCACAAGUUCAGGUUUAGAGCAAAUCUUAAUUUAUAACAGUCAUGCCUAAACAUGAGAGAGAAUUCAAUUUUGAGAACUAGUCAUGGCAGAGCAAAUACUCAUCAUUUCCAUGUGAGAGCUUAUCAUGAGGGUUCAUAGCAAACUUUAUUUAUUUAUUUAUUUAGAAACUAAGCAUAGAUAUAUAUAUAUAUAUAUAUAUAUAAGCAUAAAAUAUUUAUUUGGGUUUUUAUGAUUAUGCAUCUUUUUAUUAUUUGAAUAAAGUAUAAACGCGAGUAGAAACACUUAGCUAGAUAAAUGGGGGUGCUCUCCCCAAGCUAGAUUUUGACGUAAUUUCUUUUGAUAUAGCUAGCACGUGGCGGAGGUGUAUUUGAAUGUUGGCAGCACCCUGACAGCGAUUAGGAUGUCAUCCGUCUCCUAGUCUUCUUUGAUCCUUGAAUUCUUUCGGCGAGGGUUCAAUGUUUUAAGUCUUCUGAACAAGUCUUCUCACCGUGUUCAUUCUUUAGGUGCGUCAUUUGAUUCAGGUGUGGACCUUGAUGUCUGCACCUCUUGAUACGGUGUCACCCAUGUUCUUCGUUUGCCCAGCAGUUCGAAGUGCGGCGUUGGCAGUAACCUGCUCAGUGUGUUUGUCCUCGUAGAUCCAGGUUCUUCACUUGGUGGAUUCUGGGAGUUGUAAAACUCCCCCAUAUUUUGCUCGAAGUGUACCUGCUCAUAGAGACAAGGCAGAGAUCAAGUGCAUGGGCCCUGUUGGUGGAAAACACCGACAGAACCAAAAGUGUAUUUGUUCUUCUCUAACCUUAAGCAUAGUGAACAAGACAAAGUUGAUUGAUGAUAAGUUCAUGAGUGUAGCACUUAUAACAUUUGUCAGAUCAGAUUGCUUCAACCUUAUGGAAAGAUAAUCUAUCUAUGUAUAUGUCAUUUUCUUUAUAUCUCUCAAAGAUUGAAUGUGUAACAUUUUAGCUCAUAUGAUUAGGAGUGUGGGAUCAUGGAGGUAGUACUAGGAACAGAGAUUAAAGGACUAAACAUGCUGAAUCAGUUGGGUUGGUUAAUUUGGAGUUAUAGAUCAUACAUUUUUGUCUCUUUAUUUAUGUGAACGGUAGAACCAAGGAAAAGCUUAUAAAAGUGAUAGCCACAUGUCUUGAUAUGUUACCUUAAUUGAAGAGUGAUGGUACCAUCUCACCUUGUGGAAGCUUCUCUUUCUUAGUGAUUGUGCAUCGUGUUUGUGGCACUCUCCAAGGAUCAUCUCUUAUGAGCUACGUCUUCCUUAUGUAAAUUGUUAAACUUUAUGUGUCUCUCUCCUUGUCUCCAAUGUGAGUUUAUCUCAGGACUUCCUAGGUUGAUAUUAAAAGUUUUCCUGCAGGGGUUAGUCCGACAAAAUAUACCAAUAUCUACUCAAGCCGUUUUUAGUUCAGUAACCAAACUAGACUCCAUGUCUAAUCAGAUUA